GUCAAAGAUCCUGCCUGCAUUAUUAAUCUCAGGUGCAAGAUGUCAUCUCUGAUCUGUUCAAAUGUACGUGCAUCAGUGACACCGCACACCAAAGGGAAGUCAAGCACCUGUGAAGGUUAACAGUCAUCACCUCAAUUUGUCUGCUCCUCCCAUCAACUCCAACUCGUGUCAAAAGCUACGCUGGAUGAGGACUGUACAUGGAUGAGUAGCGUUUGAUGAGAUAGCAGAUCACCUGAAUAGAGAAUACUAUGACUUUAAAUCUCAAUGUCAGUGUGGAUGUGCAUUUACUGUAGCAAGACUUCAGCUUCUGUAAAGACCAAACUUUUCCUCCCCGGGGAUCCGACACUGGAAUGAAACAGAGAACAGGAGGAGAAGGCAAAAGUGAGCUGGAUACUGUGUGUACUCGAGAAAUCACCGGAAUGAUGUGUCCUUGUCACAUCACACAGAGUGGAGAAAACAGCAUGAAAUCAUCAGCAUGGAGGAUGAGAGACAGGACCGGACAUUCUUUUUCUUUAUUCUUUCAAACGUCACACGCAGCACCACAGCAACUGUGCAGACGCCCCCAACAGAACACAAAUGUACUAUGCUUGAAUAGAAAUGCUGCUCGCAAGGCACCAAAAGCACAUUGUGAGCUCAUUUUAGGGUGUUAUCAUAAUUGUCAGAUUGUUGCAGCAUAUGUUGUAUAGUGCUGCCUGUAAGGGCCACUGGUUUUAGUGCUGUAUUCAUACAGGCUUUAUCAUAAUCUCUAUUUUUUGCACAGUAAGCUAAUAUUAGGCAUGCAGUGACUGCAACGCCCGUGCAGAAUGCAGCCAAGUGUUUCGCAGGAUUAUACGUCUGCGUAUACAAACAAAUAUACGUCUGCUCGUUUCUUCGCAUCUGUUGAGAUGAAGGGGAAUCAAGAGAGCACGCAUCUGAUUAGACUUGAUGAACCCUGUUGGAUUGAGGAGAAAGUGGAACACCAGUCCCCGGGGUCUGCAUGGCACUGAAUGCAAAAAAAAUAAAAUAAAACAACAGAGAUGAGACGGAAAGCCGAAGAAUAAAAGAGACAAAAAGAAGGACCGCUCUCACCAACACUCUAAUACGCUCCCAUAAAUUCCAGCAACUUGUUUGUGUUUGUUUUCGCCGCUGUUCAUUAUUCCAGGUGAUCAGACUUCAGAAUGAACACGCGUACCGUUCUGGUCAGCAAAACGCACAUUUACAGAUGAGAUAAAAGAAACACGGCGGGACACACAAGAAUGCGAUCGGCUUUAAUGGGAUAAUUGGAUGUGAAACUGUCAUUCCACCUGGUGAGGGACUGCUUGUGCGAGGCGAGCGGCUAGACGGCAACAAAAAACCAACCUAAUCAGCCAGGCCCACUGAGAGCCAUUUUAUGCUGCAACAUCAAUUACAAAAGAAUUGCUUUAGGGAUACUCUGUCCAGGCUUUCCAAUGCAUCACUUAUUAGACAAUCCUUUGCUGUGACAUGUACUCAUCAGAGGAUUGAGGCACCAGUGCUAGACAAGGUCAUUUAUGAAUUAUUUGGAUUUGUGUCACUGUUUUUUCUUGUGUUUGUGUGGUUUGUUUUUUACAAAUAGACUGCUCCACAGUCAAUGUUUGAGUCUGUCUGUGUGUAAAGGGACCGGGGUGUGUAAUCAGUACUAUUUCAUCCCUGGAUAACUGAGACACCAUAGUCUGAAAGUUGAAAUAUUUCUUACUUAUUUCUUUAACGUGAGACCCUUAUAAUUAUGUCUAAUUGGGGUCAUUUAAAUUGGGAUUCAUUAUGUAGUUUUUCCUGGAGGUACUGCAAAUGGAUAGAAGUACCAUAAGAGAAAAUAAGCUGUGAAGAAAGCUUUGGUGAAAAUGAAAUGGGUAUUUUUUUUUUUUUGGUGAUACCUCUACAUUAGCUAUAGCUCCUACAGAGUGCUUCACUGCCAUUGAUAAUUGGAUGUCUUUAAAUUUCUUCCAUCUCAAUCCAGGCAAAAAGGAGGUUCAUGUCUUCAGCUCCCAUUAACUUCUCUAAGGAGGUCAGUCAUUACACAGGCCCCUCUUCCUUCUCCUCCCCAAAGUCAAAACAUCUGCUAAGAAUCCUGGUAUUAUUUCUCACCAACAUUUACAUUUUGAAACUCGCAUCCCUAGAGCUCAUCCAUCGCAAAACUUUUAUUGGCUCCCAAUAACUUUAACUUUCUCCUGUCUUGAUUGUUGUAGCUCACUUUUCACAUCUGUCUCUCAGUCCUCAGUCUGUCUUCAGAUGGUUGCAGAAUGCAGCAGCUAGACUGUUCACACAUCGCCCUUAUUCCCGAUGCCCUUCACUGGCUUUUAACGAAAUUCAAAAUACAUAAAAUCAAGAUUAAUUGCAUAUAAAGCCCUCUAUGGCUGGGCUUCUGUAUAUAUGGCAGACCUGCUCAGACCUCAUUUCAGCAGUUCGAGUCUCUGAUCACCUGGUUGGUGUGGUCCAUGUGGUUAUUUUGAAACAACUGCCAAGUUUUUUUUUCUUUAAUCUUUUGACCCUUAUUUUUUGUUCUUUUCCUUCUGAUGUAUACAGAAGUGUGCAUGCAGGAAUGAAUGUAAAACUGUAUGUAUGUGUUUGUAGGUUUUGACAUGUGCACUUAUCUUUAACGUGUGGUUUUAUGAAAACUGUAAGGCACUUUUUAACAGUGUGCUUUAAAACAUGUUAUACAAAUAAAGUUAUUAUUCAUGAAAAAGGUGCUUUUUAUAUGGAAUGGCCCAAUUUGGGUAUUCAGUUGAUAUAUUAUGUUGAAAAAAUAAUAAAAGUUGUCAGAAAAUUAUUUGUCCAGUUGAUUGUUAGCAGGGGUCAGGGUCCCAUUAAUUGUGGAGUACUUCAAAAGUGCUCACUUUGAGAUGAAAAGUUCCGAGUAUGGAGGUCUAAGGAGCUUGGAAAGAAAACGACUCGACAUCUUUAAGUUUCGUGAAGAUGUUUCAGUUCUCAUCCAAGAGGCUUCCUCAGUUUCAAUUAUGGUAGUUUACCUAAUUAAGGAUUUUCAGGUGUUACCCGCAUGCUAGCAUUCAUGUUACUUACAGCAUCUUGAAGGGGGCCUGCUCAUGAAAACAUCACCUCUUAGUGUUGAUAAUGUCAAAAACUCUACAGGCCAUCUUUGAAAUAAACAUUUGCACCAAUGCUUUCUUGUGCAUAAAAUUCACUACUGUGACAGCGACUGUAUCUAGGAAACAAUUGGUAUUAUGAUUCUUAUAAAGUUGCUGCUUUGCUCAUGAGCUAUGAUGGCUAAUGCUAUAUAUGAUUACAAUAUUAGAAGAGUUAUGUCUCCUAUGCUCUUCAUUUGGCACCGAUUUAAUUGAAGACCUAUAAAAAUCAGUAGCAUAAGUUCCAAGAAUAAAUAAGAUGUCUGUAUUAUUGCAUUAGGUUUUGUUUUCCUUGCAUCAUAAAUCUAAUGAAGUAAAAUAAUAUCAGCCACUAUUUUUGUUUUAGUGAAUGUAUUAUAUCUCUCAGUGGUACCAAGCCACAUCUUCCACUUGCUGUAUAUCUGACAUGUAGGUUUUGUUUAUUACUUCAAAACAUAAUGUAAAUAAAAGACGGGUAAUUCAAUCACUCGAAAAAGGAGCUCAUCAUCUUUAAGAAUAAUGAUUCAAGAAAAGGCGCGUUCAAGAAAACGCAUGACUUGUGUUCGUUAAAAAAGAAAAGACACUUCCAUUACACACACACACACACACACACGCCAAAUCAAAUUCUGAGCAGCCUGAAGUGCUGGGAAAUGAUCAUUAGGAGCCUCAGUGGCACUUGAGACGUUGCGGUUGACGUGCGGAGGAUGGUGCUCCCUGCAACCUCAUGGUGAUAUGCGUCAGCAAUCAGAGGGAGAAGAUGUGUACCAAACAGCCGGGAUAAUUAAGGUUGAGCCAACAAACAUAAUCACCACCCAAUCAGGCUGCAUUGUGGCAAGCUACGUUGCCUGAAGAAGCCCAUGUUAAUUUUCUGCUUCUACAUAAAGUGGCUGAUGGUGAAAACAUAAGAUGUCUCCGUUUGAAUAAGCAUUUAUUACCAGAGAAAAAAAAGUUUAAAGGUUGCGCUUUUACCAUGAAACUUACAAAAUAAAGCAAUUUUCUUAUUGCAUACCUGGCACUGUGUAUGUGUGGCGUUUGCAUGUUCUCUUUGUAACUGUGUCAGUUACUACCCUCUAAAGACAUCCACGUAAGGUUAACUGGUGAUUCUAACGUUUGUAUGUGUUUGUCAUAUCUCAAGUUUAGUGUCUGUUGUGACAUUACACUUAUUGUAAUGCACAGAGACCAUUUCCUACUUGACAGAAGUUAACUUUUACUAUAAGUUGUCUGAUUAGCAGUUGUUACACCUACAGCGGGUAUCACUGGGUUUGCUACAAGCCUGUGCGGGCAGCCAAGGUUGUAUCCCUACACAUGGCCCACAGGGGUUUUGGCCUUUUGGGCCCCAGUGAAUGUUUCAUUGUGAGCUACUUUAACCCCACAGUAAUUUUAACAAGGGCAACUUAAAACGUAAACUUUUUGUUCAGUUGUUGCUGAAGAUUACAUCAGCACCUCAGAGUACUCUGUAGUUAAAGCUAGAACAAAUACUGGUGAUCUUAAAUUUCUACAUAAAUUAAAUUAAAAAGUCUUUACAUGUCUGUGAUAAUACUUAUAUUAGAUAAAUUAUUAUUUAUAGAUAAAUCAUCAGUGGUAGCUGAAGCCUCUCGUUUUUCCAGAGAAGUGCACACUAUAACUAUACCAGC
rnacentral:lncRNA from 1 species